ACGGAGAAUUGCUAGCUUGCUAAUAAUUCUCUAGUGGCGCACGGGUGAGUAACACGUGAGUACCUGCCCCCAAGAGUGGGAUAGCCCCGGGAAACUGGGAUUAAUACCGCAUAAAGCAAUAAAGCAGCAAUGCGCUUGGGGAUGGGCUCGCGUCCUAUUAGUUAGUUGGUGAGGUAACGGCUCACCAAGGCGAUGACGGGUAGCCGGUCUGAGAGGAUGUCCGGCCACACUGGAACUGAGACACGGUCCAGACACCUACGGGUGGCAGCAGUCGAGAAUCAUUCACAAUGGGGGAAACCCUGAUGGUGCGACGCCGCGUGGGGGAUAAGGUCUUCGGAUUGUAAACCCCUGUCAUGUGGGACAUUAAAAGAUAGUACCACAAGAGGAAGAGACGGCUAACUCUGUGCCAGCAGCCGCGGUAAUACAGAGGUCUCAAGCGUUGUUCGGAAUCACUGGGCGUAAAGCGUGCGUAGGCGGUUUCGUAAGUCGUGUGUGAAAGGCGGGGGCUCAACCCCCGGACUGCACAUGAUACUGCGAGACUAGAGUAAUGGAGGGGGAACCGGAAUUCUCGGUGUAGCAGUGAAAUGCGUAGAUAUCGAGAGGAACACUCGUGGCGAAGGCGGGUUCCUGGACAUUAACUGACGCUGA
rnacentral:rRNA from 1 species